UGCCCAGCAACUCCUAUUCCUACCUCCUCGUGUUACUGGCCGGGGUAACUUUGGGGAAGAUCGGGUAACCAGCCCCGGUGGGAACUUUGGUCGUAUGCUCACAGGGAAGG
rfam:Aedes aegypti strain Liverpool supercont1.270 genomic scaffold, whole genome shotgun sequence.